UGGGGAAUUUUGGACAAUGGGCGAAAGCCUGAUCCAGCAAUGCCGCGUGUGUGAAGAAGGCCUUCGGGUUGUAAAGCACUUUUGUCCGGAAAGAAAUGGCUCUGGUUAAUACCUGGGGUCGAUGACGGUACCGGAAGAAUAAGGACCGGCUAACUACGUGCCAGCAGCCGCGGUAAUACGUAGGGUCCAAGCGUUAAUCGGAAUUACUGGGCGUAAAGCGUGCGCAGGCGGUUGUGCAAGACCGAUGUGAAAUCCCCGAGCUUAACUUGGGAAUUGCAUUGGUGACUGCACGGCUAGAGUGUGUCAGAGGGGGGUAGAAUUCCACGUGUAGCAGUGAAAUGCGUAGAGAUGUGGAGGAAUACCGAUGGCGAAGGCAGCCCCCUGGGAUAACACUGACGCUCAUGCACGAAAGCGUGGGGAGCAAACAGGAUUAGAUACCCCCGUAGUCC
rnacentral:rRNA from 1 species